rnacentral:rRNA from 1 species
CAAACUCCUACGGGAGGCAGCAGUGAGGAAUAUUGGUCAAUGGGCGAGAGCCUGAACCAGCCAAGUAGCGUGAAGGAUGACUGCCCUAUGGGUUGUAAACUUCUUUUAUAAAGGAAUAAAGUCGGGUAUGCAUACCCGUUUGCAUGUACUUUAUGAAUAAGGAUCGGCUAACUCCGUGCCAGCAGCCGCGGUAAUACGGAGGAUCCGAGCGUUAUCCGGAUUUAUUGGGUUUAAAGGGAGCGUAGGUGGACUGGUAAGUCAGUUGUGAAAGUUUGCGGCUCAACCGUAAAAUUGCAGUUGAUACUGUCAGUCUUGAGUACAGUAGAGGUGGGCGGAAUUCGUGGUGUAGCGGUGAAAUGCUUAGAUAUCACGAAGAACUCCGAUUGCGAAGGCAGCUCACUGGACUGCAACUGACACUGAUGCUCGAAAGUGUGGGUAUCAAACAGGAUUAGAUACCCUGGUAGUCCACACAGUAAACGAUGAAUACUCGCUGUUUGCGAUAUACAGUAAGCGGCCAAGCGAAAGCAUUAAGUAUUCCACCUGGGGAGUACGCCGGCAACGGUGAAACUCAAAGGAAUUGACGGGGGCCCGCACAAGCGGAGGAACAUGUGGUUUAAUUCGAUGAUACGCGAGGAACCUUACCCGGGCUUAAAUUGCAGAUGAAUUACGGUGAAAGCCGUAAGCCGCAAGGCAUCUGUGAAGGUGCUGCAUGGUUGUCGUCAGCUCGUGCCGUGAGGUGUCGGCUUAAGUGCCAUAACGAGCGCAACCCUUAUCUUCAGUUACUAACAGGUCAUGCUGAGGACUCUGGAGAGACUGCCGUCGUAAGAUGUGAGGAAGGUGGGGAUGACGUCAAAUCAGCACGGCCCUUACGUCCGGGGCUACACACGUGUUACAAUGGGGGGUACAGAAGGCAGCUAGCGGGUGACCGUAUGCUAAUCCCAAAAUCCUCUCUCAGUUCGGAUCGAAGUCUGCAACCCGACUUCGUGAAGCUGGAUUCGCUAGUAAUCGCGCAUCAGCCACGGCGCGGUGAAUACGUUCCCGGGCCUUGUACACACCGCCCGUCAAGCCAUGGGAGCCGGGGGUACCUGAAGUACGUAACCGCAAGGAUCGUCCUAGGGUAAAACUGGUGACUGGGGCUAAGUCGUAACAAGGUAGCCGUACCGGAAGGUGCGGCUG